GCCGAGCAGGGCCGCGCAGGAGGCGGCGACGCCGUCCUGCACGGCGGCGGUGAAGCCGUCGCGGGCGGCGUCGAUCGCGGCGCCCUGCUCGGCG
rnacentral:tRNA from 1 species